AGCUUACCAUAUUGUGUCUUCAAAACAGCCAAAUGGCAACAUGGGUAUCUAAUCAUCAAAGUCGUUCUCUUACAUCAUCACUCGAGUUGCGCGCCUAUAUAUACACUACAAUUUCACCUCCCUUAUCCUCCAUCCUAGCUCAUUGAAAAUAUCUUAACCAUUGUUUAAUUUCCACAACAUGGUCUCCGCACCCCUCAUUUUUUUCUCGCUUCUCUUCUUGGGUUUUUCUUGGCACACCAGCAAGGCCCUGGAGCCAUUUGCCUGCGACCCAAAAGAUGAAGUGACGAGGAACUUGCCCUUUUGCCAAGCGAAGUUGCCCAUACAGGAUAGAGUUAAGGACCUCAUUGGCAGGUUGACAUUGUCAGAGAAGGUUGGGUUGCUAGUUAAUAAUGCUGCUGCAGUUUCCCGGCUUGGGCUUGACGGCUAUGAAUGGUGGUCUGAGGCUCUU
rnacentral:misc_RNA from 1 species